rnacentral:tRNA from 1 species
GGUGGCUCAGUGGUAGAGCACUUGCUUUGCGUGCAUAAGGCCCUGGGUUUGAUUCCCCAGCACCA